UAAAAGGCGGUGUUGGGCCACCAUCCGGUCUUUUGCGGAGCGACUGACUUGGGGGUCUGAUACCAUGGCCCCAAUAGUGGUCAAUGAGUUUGUGGAUGUCCUGCACGUGUGGACUAUAGCAAACAAGGGUGCUGUCCAGUGACAACAAGAAGCCAACGAAGCUCAGAUGUAA